GCUGCAAUGAUGAUAUCUAAUCUUUAGUCGGAAUCCCCUUCACUCCAUCUAUGAGUGAUACACGCAGUCUGAUAAGC